CCUAGCUUCUUGCCUGCAGGAGCUGGGCUGGGCGCUCUCCGAGACACCGCCUGCAUUAGGAAACCACCCCACGCGCGCGGGCUCAGCGGAGGCCGUGAGCAGAGCCGCUGGGGAGUACCGGGUCGGGGGCCAAACGACAUCCACGUUGCGGGUGACACCGGAGCGGUUUCUUUUUCGCAGGGAGCCGAGAAGGGUCUGUUUGACACGUGGAUGGUGUCUUGGCAUAGAGUUAACCCCUGGUCGUUCGCAGAAUGUAAAAGAAUUUACGAGACUCGACAAGAGUCCCUCCACUGCACUAGGGACAAGAUGUGAGGUGCCUCACCCAGCCCGGCUUCGUUCAUUCAACAAGGACUGAGCACCCACGAGUGCGAGUGCGGGGCUCCGUUCUUUCAUGCAUCUCGCCACCACAGUGUCCUGACUGGGUCCCAUCCACUCGGAUCGCCGUAGGCAGCGACGCACACGUGCAGUCACUACCGCCAGCUGCGUUUUAAGCAAGCUGCUUCCACUAGGCUCCUGUUCCUCGUCUCGGGGAAUUUCUCCUCACGUGAAACAGCAGCUCAAGUCCCCAUUUUAGAGUCUGGAAAAGUCUCCAGGCUGAAAGUGGCACAGAAGGUCAGAGGCCCUCACAUGGGCCCCAGAAAAAAAUUUCACCCAAGCCGCUCCUGUGGCAACUGUGGAAACAGAGGCAGGGAAUAUGAACCCCGGUCACCUCACGGAUGUGGAAGGUGAGGCUCAGAGGGUUCUCACAACUUGCCCAAGGCUCCACAGAUAGGCGGUGGCACGGCUGUGCUCUGAACCCAGAUCUCCGGCCUCCAAGCCCAGACUCAGGUUCCUCUAAGGCAGAGGCCAACCCUCCCUGAAAAGGUAAGGCUGGGCCUUCUGAGCUAGAUCCAAAACUAGCAGGAGUUUGGCUGCUGCGUUCUCUUUGGGGGCACUUGCUCUGGAAAGGCCAAGGAGUGGCCUGGCCUUCUCUGCCUGGAUGUACCUGCUAAGUCAGCGCCAUUCAGUAAGAACAAAUUCUGGUUUUGCCACUGAAUUGCGGUGGGUUCUUACGGUCACACAUUUCUGUAAAGUUUGCAAAUAAGAGACAUUUUAACCUCAGUUAUGUCUCUUUUCCACUCCUGUCUUUGUUCAUCAGUGGGAGUG